GUUUACAUGUUACUUCACUGGUAUGUUAGUUUUCGUGGGCCAGAUCCUUUCUGACCCAUGCACAGAAGACAUAAGGAAUGGAGAGAAUACUCCCUCUCCAUUACUGUUGGGUGGCAAAUGAUGCCUCAAAGGGAAGUAGAGGAAAGGGAGACAAAAGCAUGGCCUUUUGCCCAGAUAUGCACCAGCAGAGCUUGCUGGCCAUGUAGUGGAGUAAGCUGUACUCCACAAAAGAGUAGAGUGGUGGGAGCAUUGCCCCUGUGUGCCCAGGGCCUCUGGGAGGCAUUUUGCCUCCUUGUAGCAGAAAAUCUCCCAUUACUAUCUCUUAGUGAGUGUAGCUCCAUGGUGUCCUUUGCUAUGGGCUAUGCCUAACUGGCACCAUCUAGCCCUGUUUGGCUGUGUUCUCUACCACCACAUAAGUCACGCAUCAAAUGACUUAUAGGUAAGGAAAAACAUUUAUGAACCCAGCUGGUACUAAGGCUUCACUCAAGUAUUCAUCUGAUACCAACAGUUGUUAGUUUCAGGUUCACAGAAUUAGUGGUAUGUUCUUUCUUCAGUAAUAAAAUGCACUUGCAUUAUUGUAGAUUCUUUGUAUGCACUGAGGGGAGAAUAAACUCUUUACAACUGGACUCCAGCACUAAUUUUAAAGUAGGUGGACUUCUGAAUUAUUACCACUUUAUUAAGGAGAUGCUCUACAAAUCUUUUUUAAUUAAGUUAGCUCCUUUUCCUGGUGAAAAAAAUAGUGCAGUUAUGCUUAGGACUAUUUUUUGCUAUGUGUAGUAUUUUUACAUAAGUUGAACCAAAAUUGUUUCUUUUGUGAAUAUAUUGUCUUGCAAAUUACAUCUUUUUAUUAAUGUAACAUGUAGGCACAAUUUUCAAGGAAAAUAUGUUUGUCUAUCAAGUGAGCUAAUAAAAUUCAAAGAUUAACAUAUAGUAAAUCCAAAUUUAGAGAAACAGUGAUUGUAUAAUCAUAGCCUCACCCACUGUUAUACAGAUCAUACUUAAAAUACUACAUAUUAUAGUGAUAAUGAGCAUGUAGUUAACCAUACAGCAUUACGUUAAAUCCAAAGUAACUCGCUUGAACUUAAUGGGAGUUGUUUUGGGUUUACAAUCAGUAAAAACCAGAGCAAAAUUUGACCCAGAAUGAGUAAACUUUUAACUGCCUAAGAUCUGUUUCUGAUUGCACAUUCACUUCACCUCUUGUUCGGUACCCGUAAGUCUCUUGUAGAAGGUUGCAUACUCCUUGAGUCCAUCAGCAAAACAUAUUAAUCCCUCAUCUACUGUUGCUGACAAUAGUAAAUCUUCAUUCUUGUAAGCCUCUUUUACACCAAGAAAGUCACUUGUUGCUGACUAUGUUUGUCAGUAACAGGUCUCCCUGAACCAACGUUAAAAAUGGUUUAAUUGGUACUGUGCAAGGGCCAGAAGAAUUUUUCAGCACCGUUACAAAAAGUGUGGUCUCUUGUCAUGAUAUAUAUGCUGAAAAUGGCUGUAUCCUCAACUGCUCUAGCAGUAAAAUUGUUUUUAACUCUGGUUCUGGGUGACCUGUUGCUGACAACCGUGGUGAGCAAUAGGUGAGUUACCUAGUGUAGAAAGAUUUAAGAAGAUAGAGGCUUACUAGAUUGAAAAGAUGUAAACUUCAGACAUGCAAUUUGUUGCAUGCUUGUUGGAAUGAAACAGAUCAGAGUCCAGGUGAAGCACAGAAUUUUUAAUGAAUCAAGCCCUUAAAUGUUAUUUGAUCUUUAUCAUUGUAAACAUAUCCUUAACCACAAAUGUAUUACUACAGUUAUAUAUGCACCUAAGUGAUCUGACCAUCUCUUUGUUCAUACAUGUAGAAGUACAGUACAUAGUGCUUGCAAAUCCUUCGCAUAUUCCAAGAGAUUUAUAGUUCUUCACAAAUUGCUCUCUCUAGUGCUGGGAAAUCAUUUGCUGUCAUGCAUUCUACAACAUGCACUCUAUAAUAUUACCAAAAA